rnacentral:rRNA from 1 species
CGCGUAGGCGGCUUUUCAAGCGUGCGGUGAAAGCUCGGGGCUUAACUCCGAGUCUGCCGUGCGAACUGAGAGGCUUGAGUCUGGUAGAGGUCGAUGGAAUUCCGGGUGUAGCGGUGGAAUGCGUAGAGAUCCGGAAGAACACCGGUGGCGAAGGCGGUCGACUGGGCCAGUACUGACGCUGAGGCGCGACAGCGUGGGGAGCAAACA